GACGAACGCUGGCGGCGUGCCUAAUACAUGCAAGUCGAGCGGACGGAUGGGAGCUUGCUCCCAGACCGGCAGCGGCGGACGGGGUAGUAACACGUGGGCAACCUUCCUGUAAGACUGGGGUAACUCCGGGAAACCGGGGCUAAUACCGGAUAACUCUUUCCCUCACAUGAGGGAAAGCUGAAAGAUGGCAUCUCGCUACCACUUACAGAUGGUCCCGCGGCGCAUUAGCUAGUUGGUGAGGUAACGGCUCACCAAGGCGACGAUGCGUAGCCGACCUGAGAGGGUGAUCGGCCACACUGGAACUGAGACACGGCCCAGACUCCUACGGGAGGCAGCAGUAGGGAAUCUUCCGCAAUGGACGAAAGUCUGACGGAGCAACGCCGCGUGAGUGAUGAAGGUUUUCGGAUCGUAAAACUCUGUUGUCAGGGAAGAACAAGUACCGGAGUAACUGCCGGUACCUUGACGGUACCUGACCAGAAAGCCACGGCUAACUACGUG
rnacentral:rRNA from 1 species